rnacentral:rRNA from 1 species
CUUGCCCGCUGGCGGCAGGCCUAACACAUGCAAGUCGAGCGGAUGAAGGGAGCUUGCUCCUGGAUUCAGCGGCGGACGGGUGAGUAAUGCCUAGGAAUCUGCCUGGUAGUGGGGGAUAACGUCCGGAAACGGGCGCUAAUACCGCAUACGUCCUGAGGGAGAAAGUGGGGGAUCUUCGGACCUCACGCUAUCAGAUGAGCCUAGGUCGGAUUAGCUAGUUGGUGGGGUAAAGGCCUGCCAAGGCGACGAUCCGUAACUGGUCUGAGAGGAUGAUCAGUCACACUGGAACUGAGACACGGUCCAGACUCCUACGGGAGGCAGCAGUGGGGAAUAUUGGACAAUGGGCGAAAGCCUGAUCCAGCCAUGCCGCGUGUGUGAAGAAGGUCUUCGGAUUGUAAAGCACUUUAAGUUGGGAGGAAGGGCAGUAAGUUAAUACCUUGCUGUUUUGACGUUACCAACAGAAUAAGCACCGGCUAACUUCGUG